rnacentral:rRNA from 1 species
UUGACACAUGCAAGUCGCACGGUCAGCAAUGGCAGUGGCGGACGGGUGAGUAACGCGUAGGAAUCUAUCUCUGGGUGGGGGACAACCGUGGGAAACUACGGCUAAUACCGCAUGAUACCUGAGGGUCAAAGGCGCGAGUCGCCUGGAGAGGAGCCUGCGUCUGAUUAGCUAGUUGGUGGGGUAAAGGCUUACCAAGGCGACGAUCAGUAGCUGGUCUGAGAGGAUGAUCAGCCACAUUGGGACUGAGACACGGCCCAAACUCCUACGGGAGGCAGCAGUGGGGAAUAUUGGACAAUGGGCGCAAGCCUGAUCCAGCCAUGCCGCGUGAGUGAUGAAGGCCUUAGGGUUGUAAAGCUCUUUUACUCGGGAAGAUAAUGACGGUACCGAGAGAAUAAGCCCCGGCUAACUUCGUGCCAGCAGCCGCGGUAAU